rnacentral:rRNA from 1 species
GAUGAACGCUAGCGGCAGGCCUAAUACAUGCAAGUCGAACGGUGUAGCAAUACAUAGUGGCGCACGGGUGCGUAACACGUAUGCAACCUACCUUAUAGAGGGGGAUAGCCUUUGGAAACGGAGAUUAAUACCCCAUAACACAUUGAUACGGCAUCGUAUUAUUGUUAAAGAUUUAUCGCUAUAAGCUGGGCAUGCGUCCAAUUAGUUAGUUGGUGAGGUAAUGGCUCACCAAGACUUUGA